rnacentral:rRNA from 1 species
GGUCAAGUUGUCAAGGGCGAACGGUGAAUGCCUUGGCACCAGGAGCCGAUGAAGGACGUGGGAGGCCGCGAUAGGCCUGGGGGAGCUGUCAACCAAGCUGUGAUCCCAGGGUGUCCGAAUGGGGAAACCUGGCACCAGUCAUGUGGUGUCACCCACACCUGAACACAUAGGGUGUGUGGAGGGAACGCGGGGAAGUGAAACAUCUCAGUACCCGUAGGAAGAGAAAACAAUUUAGUGAUUCCGUGAGUAGUGGCGAGCGAAAGCGGAUCGAGGCUAAACCGGCUGCGUGUGAUACCUGUCAGGGGUUGCGUGGUCGGGGUUGUGGGACCCUGCUGAACAAGCUGACACUUGUUCGAGAAGUUACAAAGUUAGUGGCUAGUCGAACAGUCUGGAAUGGCUGACCGUAGACGGUGAAAGUCCGGUAGGUGAAAGUUGCUGACCUUCUGUGGGUGUUCCCGAGUAGCGGCGGACCCCUGAAAUCUGCCGUGAAUCUGCCAGGACCACCUGGUAAGCCUAAAUACUUCCUGGUGACCGAUAGCGGACAAGUACCGUGAGGGAAUGGUGAAAAGUACCCCGGGAGGGGAGUGAAAUAGUACCUGAAACCGUUCGCCUACAAUCCGUCGGAGCCUUGCGGGGUGACGGCGUGCCUUUUGAAGAAUGAGCCUGCGAGUUAGUGGCAUGUGGCGAGGUUAACCCGUGUGGGGGAGCCGUAGCGAAAGCGAGUCUGAAUAGGGCGAUUCAGUCGCGUGUCCUAGACCCGAAGCGGAGUGAUCUAGCCAUGGGCAGGCUGAAGCGCGGGUAAGACCGCGUGGAGGGCCGAACCCACCAAUGUUGAAAAAUUGGGGGAUGACCUGUGGUUAGGGGUGAAAGGCCAAUCAAACUCCGUGAUAGCUGGUUCUCCCCGAAAUGCAUUUAGGUGCAGCGUCGCGUGUUUCUUGCCGGAGGUAGAGCACUGGAUGGUCUAGGGGGCCCACAAGCUUACCGAAAUCAGCCAAACUCCGAAUGCCGGUAAGUGAGAGCGCGGCAGUGAGACUGCGGGGGAUAAGCUUCGUAGUCGAGAGGGAAACAGCCCAGAUCACCAGCUAAGGCCCCUAAGCGUGUGCUAAGUGGAAAAGGAUGUGGGGUCGCAUAGACAACCAGGAGGUUGGCUUAGAAGCAGCCACCCUUUAAAGAGUGCGUAAUAGCUCACUGGUCAAGUGGUUCCGCGCCGACAAUGUAGCGGGGCUCAAGCACACCGCCGAAGCUGUGGCAUUCACAUUUUAACCUCGCUUGGACUUGAUUCCUUGUGCAGGUGUGUGGAUGGGUAGGGGAGCGUCGUGCCGCGAGUGAAGCAGCGGGGUGACCCAGUUGUGGACGCGGCACGAGUGAGAAUGCAGGCAUGAGUAGCGAAAGAAGGGUGAGAAACCCUUCCGCCGGAUGACCAAGGGUUCCAGGGCCAGGCUAAUCCGCCCUGGGUGAGUCGGGACCUAAGGCGAGGCCGAGAGGCGUAGUCGAUGGACAACGGGUUGAUAUUCCCGUACCCGCGAAAGAGCGUCCCUGAUGAACCUCGUUGUGCUAACCACCUGAACUGACUGAUGUCUUCGGACGGAUGUCGGGGAGGCUGGGAACCUGAUGGGUAGUAGUCAAGCGAUGGGGUGACGCAGGAAGGUAGCUGAGCCCGGCCGGUGGUUGUGCCGGGGUAAGCGUGUAGGCCGUGUUGUAGGCAAAUCCGCAACACACUUAAGGCUGAGACGUGAUGCCGAGCCGAUUCAGGUGAAGUCAGUGAUCCUAUGCUGCCGAGAAAAGCCUCUAGCGAGUUCUUAGCGGCCCGUACCCCAAACCGACACAGGUGGUCAGGUAGAGAAUACCGAGGCGAUCGGGCGAACUGUGGUUAAGGAACUCGGCAAAUUGCCCCCGUAACUUAGGGAGAAGGGGGGCCGGAGACGUGAAGCCCCGCGCGGGUGGAGCGUUGUAUGGCCGCAGAGAGCAGGGGGAAGCGACUGUUUACUAAAAACACAGGUCCAUGCGAAGAAGUAAUUCGAUGUAUAUGGACUGACGCCUGCCCGGUGCUGGAACGUUAAGGGGACCUGUUAGCUCUUCGGGGCGAAGCGGAGAACUUAAGCGCCAGUAAACGGCGGUGGUAACUAUAACCAUCCUAAGGUAGCGAAAUUCCUUGUCGGGUAAGUUCCGACCUGCACGAAUGGCGUAACGACUUCCCCACUGUCUCAACCACAGGCCCGGCGAAAUUGCAGUACGAGUAAAGAUGCUCGUUACGCGCGGCAGGACGGAAAGACCCCGGGACCUUUACUAUAGCUUGACAUUGGUACUCGAAUUAGUUUGUGUAGGAUAGGUGGGAGCCGGUGAAGUCCAUACGCCAGUAUGGGUGGAGGCAAUCUUGAAA